rnacentral:rRNA from 1 species
GACGUAGGGGGCCAGCGUUGUUCGGAAUUACUGGGCGUAAAGGGUUCGUAGGCGGUGAGGCAAGUCGGGAGUGAAAUCUCUGGGCUCAACUCAGAGACUGCUUCCGAAACUGCUGUGCUGGAGUGUGGGAGAGGCGCGUGGAAUUGCAGGUGUAGCGGUGAAAUGCGUAGAUAUCUGCAGGAACACCCGUGGCGAAAGCGGCGCGCUGGACCACUACUGACGCUGAGGAACGAAAGCUAGGGGAGCAAACAGG